UACGGGGGGGGCUAGCGUUGUUCGGAAUUACUGGGCGUAAAGGGCUCGUAGGUGGCCAACUAAGUCAUGCGUGAAAUCCCUCGGCUUAACCGGGGAACUGCGUCUGAUACUGGAUGGCUUGAAUCCGGGAGAGGGAUGCGGAAUUCCAGGUGUAGCGGUGAAAUGCGUAGAUAUCUGGAGGAACACCGGUGGCGAAGGCGGCAUCCUGGACCGGUAUUGACGCUGAGGCGCGAAAGCCAGGGGAGCAAACGGG
rnacentral:rRNA from 1 species